rnacentral:rRNA from 1 species
GACAAACGCUGGCGGCGUGCCUAACACAUGCAAGUCGAACGGAGUUAAUUGUUUAGAUCCCUUCGGGGUGACGAACUUUUAACUUAGUGGCGGACGGGUGAGUAACGCGUGAGCAACCUGCCUUUCAGAGGGGGACAACAGUUGGAAACGACUGCUAAUACCGCAUAACGUAUCGGGAAGGCAUCUUUCUGAUACCAAAGGAGCAAUCCGCUGUAAGAUGGACUCGCGUCUGAUUAGAUAGUUGGUGGGGUAACGGCCUACCAAGUCGACGAUCAGUAGCCGGACUGAGAGGUUGAACGGCCACAUUGGGACUGAGACACGGCCCAGACUCCUACGGGAGGCAGCAGUGGGGAAUAUUGGGCAAUGGGGGAAACCCUGACCCAGCAACGCCGCGUGAAGGAAGAAGGCCUUCGGGUUGUAAACUUCUUUUAGCAGGGACGAAGAACGUGACGGUACCUGCAGAAAAGCAACGGCUAACUACGUG